rnacentral:rRNA from 1 species
CAGUCGAACGAAGCAUUUAGAACAGAUUACUUCGGUUUGAAGUUCUUUAUGACUGAUUGACGGACGGGUGAGUAACGCGUGGGUAACCUGCCUUGUACUGGGGGAUAGCAGCUGGAAACGGCUGGUAAUACCGCAUAAGCGCACAAUGUUGCAUGACAUGGUGUGAAAAACUCCGGUGGUAUAAGAUGGACCCGCGUCUGAUUAGCUAGUUGGUGAGAUAACAGCCCACCAAGGCGACGAUCAGUAGCCGACCUGAGAGGGUGACCGGCCACAUUGGGACUGAGACACGGCCCAGACUCCUACGGGAGGCAGCAGUGGGGAAUAUUGCACAAUGGAGGAAACUCUGAUGCAGCGACGCCGCGUGAGUGAAGAAGUAAUUCGUUAUGUAAAGCUCUAUCAGCAGGGAAGAUAGUGACGGUACCUGACUAAGAAGCUCCGGCUAAAUACGUGCCAGCAGCCGCGGUAAUACGUAUGGAGCAAGCGUUAUCCGGAUUUACUGGGUGUAAAGGGAGUGUAGGUGGCCAUGCAAGUCAGAAGUGAAAAUCCGGGGCUCAACCCCGGAACUGCUUUUGAAACUGUAAGGCUAGAGUGCAGGAGGGGUGAGUGGAAUUCCUAGUGUAGCGGUGAAAUGCGUAGAUAUUAGGAGGAACACCAGUGGCGAAGGCGGCUCACUGGACUGUAACUGACACUGAGGCUCGAAAGCGUGGGGAGCAAACAGGAUUAGAUACCCUGGUAGUCCACGCUGUAAACGAUGAAUACUAGGUGUCGGGGCCCAUAAGGGCUUCGGUGCCGCAGCAAACGCAAUAAGUAUUCCACCUGGGGAG